CACUGAAGUAAAGACCACUAAAGAAUAGCUAGCUGCCCCAUCAGCAGGGGAACACCUAGAGCAUUAGGACAUGAGUCAUCAUGGAACCCAAGAAAAGAGUAUUUGAAGAGUGGUCAAGGGUGCUCAAGAUGAUCUUUCAAGUAAGAGAAGUGAUGUUUUGCUGCCACAGAAACCAGAAUGUAGAUAUAAGAUUCAAGGAAUAACUAAAGGUGAAUGAUACCCCUAUUCCCAAUUGUUGUAAGCAUCAAUACUCCAGAAAGAAAGCCCCCCUCAGUUAUUGAAACCAGGAACUCGCACACGUUUGGCAAGUACCACACCACUGAGCUACAACUUAUAGAUUAUAAAUCUGCUAAUGCAAAUGAAGCAAAGUAAUUAUUUAACAUGUAAAUUAAAGAAGCUUGAUAAACUACUGAAGGUGGAAGACACUUGGAGGAGACUCUGCCCAGACGGAUGCACUUAUUCAUCGGUUCACCAACUGCUUGACUGCAGACAGGUUGUUAGCUUCUUAGCAUUGCAUUCCACUUGUCUUUAAAAUUAACCAGUAAGACUGGCAAACAUCAGUGGCUUCGAUGUUAUUAAAGUUUAUGUGUUUGGGGUUGGAAAA